CCCCUCAUAGCUCAAUGGUAGAGCCGUCGGCUGUAGCCCGACUCGUGCCAGUUCGAUUCUGGCUGAGGGGA
rnacentral:tRNA from 1 species